rnacentral:tRNA from 1 species
CCCUUGGUGGUGUAGUUGGUUAUCGCGUCAGACUGUAAUUGAGUUGUAAUCUGAAUGUCACCGGUUCGAUUCCGGUCCGAGGGA